GACAGAGGUGCCGAGCGUUAGGCGGAAUCACUGGGCUUAAAGCGUGUGUAGGCGGACUUCUAAGUACCUUGUGAAAUCCCACGGCUCAACCGUGGAACUGCUUGGUAUACUGGUUGUCUUGAGCCACUUAGGGGCAGUCGGAACAGACGGUGGAGCGGUGAAAUGCGUAGAUAUCGAGAGGAACACCUGCGGCGAAGGCGGGUUGCUGGGCUGACACUGACGCUGAUGCGCGAAAGCCAGGGGAGCGAACGGG
rnacentral:rRNA from 1 species